rnacentral:rRNA from 1 species
UGCGUAGGCGGUCCCGCAAGUCCGCUGUGAAAGCCCCGGGCUUAACCUGGGAAUGGCAGUGGAAACUAGGGGACUUGAAUCCGGCAGAGGGGGGUGGAAUGCCACGUGUAGCAGUGAAAUGCGUAGAGAUGUGACGGAACACCGAUGGCGAAGGCAGCCCCCUGGGUUGAGAUUGACGCUCAGGCACGAAAGCGUGGGGAGCAAACAGGAUUAGAUACCCUGGUAGUCCACGCCCUAAACGAUGAUCACUAGGUGGUUGGGGAAGCGAUUUCUCAGUACCGCAGCUAACGCGUGAAGUGAUCCGCCUGGGGAGUACGGUCGCAAGAUUAAA